rnacentral:rRNA from 1 species
CAGCAGUAGCCGCGGUAAUACGGAGGGUGCAAGCGUUAAUCGGAAUUACUGGGCGUAAAGCGCACGCAGGCGGUCUGUCAAGUCAGAUGUGAAAUCCCCGGGCUUAACCUGGGAACUGCAUUUGAAACUGGCAGGCUAGAGUCUUGUAGAGGGGGGUAGAAUUCCAGGUGUAGCGGUGAAAUGCGUAGAGAUCUGGAGGAAUACCGGUGGCGAAGGCGGCCCCCUGGACAAAGACUGACGCUCAGGUGCGAAAGCGUGGGGAGCAAACAGGAUUAGAUACCCGCGUAGUCCCUGUCUCUUAUAC